CAGGAAGUGACAUCACUCUCAGAACUUUUCAGCAUUUUUUAUAUAUUUCCAUCAUGCUAACGUACGUUACUGUGACCUUUAACCCAGAAGCCGACAGAGUGAAUAGCCUCUAUGGAUUCCAGGAUCUGUUUCCCCAAACGUAGAGUUGUGCUGAUGGUGAAGGUUCCACGUGGCUGACUCCGCCUCAGAUCUGCCAGGCUUUCCAGCAAGACUUCUCGAAAGAAGACGGGGCGGCCCUAAGGACAGCAAGGGCUAAACUGUCCCGAGCCAUCAUCAGAGAAACAAAGCGUUCACAUGCCCAGCCCAUCCACAGCCACCUCCAGCAGCACAUACAGGUGAUCACAAACUACAAGACAGCUUCACUUGCCUGUGUCAGUGAUGCCUCCCUCCCAGAACAACCAUCCAUCCCCCAGCGAUCAGGAACUCUAUACAGAGUUAACCCACAGAAGGCUGCUGGACCAGACAACAUUCCUGGCAGGUGCUCAGGGAAUGUGCAGCUCAGCUAGCGGAUGUCUUUACUGACAUGAGCAUCACUGUUGUUCCUACGUGCCUCAAGAC